rnacentral:rRNA from 1 species
UACGGAGGAUGCAAGCGUUAUCCGGAAUGAUUGGGCGUAAAGCGUCCGCAGGUGGCUAUGUAAGUCUGCUGUUAAAGAGUGAGGCUCAACCUCAUAAGAGCAGUGGAAACUACAUGGCUAGAGUGCGUUCGGGGCAGAGGGAAUUCCUGGUGUAGCGGUGGAAUGCGUAGAGAUCAGGAAGAACACCGGUGGCGAAAGCGCUCUGCUAGGCCGCAACUGACACUGAGGGACGAAAGCUAGGGGAGCGAAUGGG